AACCGGGCGAUCUAUCCAUGGGCAGGUUGAAGGUUGGGUAACACUAACUGGAGGACCGAACCGACUACCGUUGAAAAGUUAGCGGAUGACCUGUGGAUCGGAGUGAAAGGCUAAUCAAGCUCGGAGAUAGCUGGUUCUCCUCGAAAGCUAUUUAGGUAGCGCCUCAUGUAUCACUGUAGGGGGUAGAGCACUGUUUCGGCUAGGGGGUCAUCCCGACUUACCAAACCGAUGCAAACUCCGAAUACCUACAAGUGCCGAGCAUGGGAGACACACGGCGGGUGCUAACGUCCGUCGUGAAAAGGGAAACAACCCAGACCGUCAGCUAAGGUCCCAAAGUUAUGGUUAAGUGGGAAACGAUGUGGGAAGGCUUAGACAGCUAGGAGGUUGGCUUAGAAGCAGCCACCCUUUAAAGAAAGCGUAAUAGCUCACUAGUCGAGUCGGCCUGCGCGGAAGAUGUAACGGGGCUCAAACCAUACACCGAAGCUACGGGUAUCACUUAGGUGAUGCGGUAGAGGAGCGUUCUGUAAGCCUGUGAAGGUGAGUUGAGAAGCUUGCUGGAGGUAUCAGAAGUGCGAAUGCUGACAUGAGUAACGACAAUGGGUGUGAAAAACACCCACGCCGAAAGACCAAGGUUUCCUGCGCAACGUUAAUCGACGCAGGGUUAGUCGGUCCCUAAGGCGAGGCUGAAAAGCGUAGUCGAUGGAAAACAGGUUAAUAUUCCUGUACUUCUGGUUAUUGCGAUGGAGGGACGGAGAAGGCUAGGCCAGCUUGGCGUUGGUUGUCCAAGUUUAAGGUG
rnacentral:rRNA from 1 species